rnacentral:rRNA from 1 species
UACGUAGGUGGCAAGCGUUAUUCGGAAUUAUUGGGCGUAAAGGGCGCGUAGGCGGCUUUGCAAGUGGCGGGUGAAAUCCCUCGGCUUAACCGAGGAACUGCCUGCCAGACUGUGAGGCUUGAGACCGGGAGAGGUGAGUGGAAUUCCCGGUGUAGCGGUGAAAUGCGCAGAUAUCGGGAGGAACACCAAUGGCGAAGGCAGCUCGCUGGGACGGUACUGACGCUGAGGCGCGAAAGCGUGGGGAGCAAACAGGG